CACGGCUUUUGUUGAUGUCUUUUGUCCGUUUGUGCCCUGCUAUGGCAGAGGAAUCAAAAACUUAUC
rnacentral:telomerase_RNA from 1 species